AUGUGACCUUUACUUUAUUGCUUAUAUUUCCAUAAAGCAAAAGCUUUCAUGCUAAACAUUGAUAGUUUAGUUUGUGGAUAUAUAUAGUAUAAGUGAGAAAUUCCAUAAAAAGUUAAAAGGCCUUAGAGGGAUAGUAUAAAAUGUUACAAUUAAUAGUUUGGACUGAAGAAGUGUCAUACAAAACAGAGUGAAGGGUUAUCUAUUAUAAAGAUUUUUUUACCUUUAAGUCUAAACAUUCUUGGUCAUCUUACUGGUAAGAACUUUUAAUGUAAUUGCUUUUACGGUGUAUAUUGGUGAGAGUAUCAAUGUGAAUGGAAAAAAACUGCACUGUUUGUUCCCACAAAAGAUUAAGAUUGUAUGUUUAUGAUUUAUACAUUAUAAUUAUUUUUACCACUGGGCAUUAUUAGUAUUGAAAUCAUUAUUACUAGAGAAUGUACAUCUUUGUAGGCCUAAUAUUUAUGAUAUACAAGACGUACAUUAUGUUGAAAAAAGGAACAAUUAUUGCUGAAUAGAUAACUAUUUACUCACAGAUUUUACUGUUCUAUUGUUGGUAAAAUGUAAGGCAUCAAAUUCAAGAAGAUCCUUGGUGUUAAUGAGGUUUAUUGAUAUAAAGUUGCUGUUAAAGCUAAGAGAAAUUGUGAAUGUUUUUUAGCCUAAAAUAUAAAAUUUUAUUUGAAUGGAUUUAUAGUCCAGUCAUCUCAAGAUAGAAAUCAAGAAUGAACAAAAUUUGCUAACAUUAAUUCAACUACUAAUGAUAUCUUACUAAAAGAAUCAUUUAUGAUCAUAUCUUAUUUGAAACUUUCAGUGUAGUUUAGCAAUAUUAUACCGUAGUCUAUUAAAACAAAUACUAUCGUAAAUUUAAAUAAGCAGAGUUACAUCAAUUUAACCUUCCUUUGUUGUUUUUUGAAUAUGUCUACUUUUGUUUUUAAUUUAGUUCAUAUAUAUAUAAAACAUUCUACAUAAUACAAAACUUGUGCCAAAUUUCCAGACUAGGAAGGUGCCAGGGAACUGUUUGUCGAUUAAUUUGACUUCUGUUGUUAGCAAGGUGUUAGAAUCAAUCAUGAGAAAACAUUUUUGUUCCCCUGUGCUCUAUCACUUAAAAGUUCAUAUCCUUUUAAAAACAUGGUAUUUAUAAUCCUAACUAAUACUCAGUAUUUAUAGUUCUAGCUAAAACUUUAUAUCUGUAACCACAGUUAAAACUCAGUCUCUAUAAUUGUAGCUAAAAUUAAGUAUUUACAAUAUUGGCUAAAACUUGAUAUUUAUAAUUUUAGUUAUGAAAAAUGCCAACUGUUUCCUUUUUAUUGAAUUCAAUUUGUCCUAUUAUGAAAAACAUUUUUGGACUUCAAUUUUCACAGUUUAUACUUGCACUUACUAGUAGAGGUCUCUGUAAUAGAGCUUGUUCAGUCUAGAAAAGUGUGUGUGUGUGUAUUCAUAAAAGAUGGAAAAGGGACCAUUUUAUCCUUCGUGGUUGUCAUUGGACAUCCACACUUGAGAAAAGUAAUAUUGUAAACUCGUUCUUUAUUUCCUGUGAACUGAUGGCUUCCACUAAUGCCAACGGAAACUCAUUCCAAAGGUCAAUCAUUCAGUUACAAAUGUAUAUAAAACUGGUCCUUUCCAAAUCUUAUACUUGAAUCCUUUCAUCCUAUUAGUAACAGAACACAAAGACAUGAAGAGACGUUUGUCCAAUUGAUUUCCUAGAUAAUCUUGUAAGCUUCAGUAGAAUUACUUUUAAUUCAUCUUUUCUCAUGAAAAAUAAGUUUGAGAUCUUAACAUAUCCUUAAGCCAACCCUUCCAUCCCUUGAGUCAUUAUAGUAGCCUUCCUCUGAACCCUUUAAUAUAAGUCAAUAAAGGAUAAGGAGACCAAACUUAUACACAGCAUUCUAAGUGAAGCCUAACUAGUGAUAUUUCUAGGGUUAAUUAUCUCUUUUGGCUUUCAAUCAAUAUGUAUAUAAAUAUCCCAUGAAGUGCUAUUAGCAGUGCUACUAGCAACAGAGUGCAUCAUCAGUGGCAUAAGUGACUCAUCCACCACUAUUACCAAAUUCCUUUUAUUCAGUUAUGCUACUGAGUGGGUUCCCAUCUACAUUAAACAUGUGAUUCAAAUUAUGAUGAUAAUUUAUGAUAAACAUGAUGAAUUACCUUGCCUAUAAUGUCCAGUUAUUACAUCCUUAAAUAUUUACUUUUUUCAUAUUUAGUUAUAAUAAUUGUCUUUGUGUAGAAGUUUUCUGUUUGAAUUGAUGAUGAAAUACAACUUUUUGUUCACACAACUAAUAAUUUUCCUUUAUGUUUCAUGCCCUGAAGCAGAAUGCAAGACAGACUGAUUCAGCAAUCUGGACAUCAGAACCACAGUUCUUUACUCUCCCUUGUAGCACACAAUGCAUCUUUUUUUGUUUCAGUUAUGAGAUCAGGGAAAUGCCUUUUGACUAGCCUACUCGGCUUUGCUGAUUUAGAUAGACAUUCAGACUUUGGUCUGAUAGAUCACUUUAUCAAUAUUAUAAAUCUAUAUAAGAAAGACCAAAGGCCCAAACACAGACCCCCUGAUGUACUCCAGUAGUAACAAAGAUCCAGUUUGAUUGGAUUUCUUUAACAAUCUUUUCCUUUCUCCUAUUCAAUCACCCUAUAAUCCAAUUAAUUAGUCUUUUCCCACCCCCUAUCAACAUGAUUUUUAUAGCUAAUGUCUGACAACUAUAAAAAGGUCCAUGCCUUUCCAUUGUCCAGAUAACAAGUAAUGCCUUCGGCUCCAUAAAAAAAAAAAGUAAGAUGAAGUUUCCCUUUGUUCAGUCCAGUUUAUUAUCUUCAGCUUAUUAGAAACAAUAGAAUUUGUUCAUCAAUAGAUUUUAUGGGUAGAAUUCAAAAACUUGCUUUCAUUUUUCAUAAUAAAGUUUUCUGAUUGCACAAAUCCAAUUCAAAAUUCGUUCAAUUCUGUGGGAAAUUCAGCAGUAUUCUUGUUGUGGGUUUAGAAGUUCUACAGAUUAUCAUAACCUUUUAAAAACCUUCACAUCUAAACUUUAAUUGCUUGGGAUAUUCUUUAGGACAGUGGUAACCAAUGUUAGUGUAAUGACCACCAUAAAUUUGACCCCCUCCCACCAGUUUCGUAUAUGGUAUGACAUUACGUCAUUAGAUUUUUUGAUUACUUUCUUUGUUACGUUAACACCUCUUUUCUUGCUAUGUAUUAUUAUUUUCUAGUACUUUCUAGAAGUGUAUCAUGUUUCCUUUUCAGCCUUUACAGACAUUUAUUAUUAUUACUUCCUGUAGUCAAUUUUAUGUGUUUGUUACAGGGGUUACAAUAAGACUGAUGAUAAACAAUUUUUUACAUACUACAUAUUAUGUUUAGCAUGUUUUCUUCUUCUCAGUUUUAAUACUGUUAUAUUAUCAUGGUCAAUUUAUGUAUUUUAUAUUGUAUGUUCAUAAACAUUACUUUUGGGUUGUGUUAUGUGAAAUUUACUGCUGCUAAUUCGACAUGGUUUGAACUGUAACUUGUCACAGAUGCAAGUUGGUUCUGAUGUUAUACAGUAGGAGUGGCUUAAUGCAUUUCUUUGGUCAAAAGAUGCUAGGGAAAGUGGAGAGGAAAGUUACAGUUUUCAAAGAUACUUACUCCUACACCAGUAGUUCAAGUCAACUAAUGUUUCUGUGUUCCUGUAUGAAAUUCAUUAACAGGGCCAUCUGGUAGCUAGCGAAGAAGUCGUUGUGGUUUUUUUGUUUUUAAUGAAAACGUUUUUGUACAUGGCAGGAAAUCUGUGCUUAAGGAAUCCUGCAUAUUCAUGGUUUUGGGAAAGUGAAGUCGAAAAGAAGUUUGCUUGCCCUAUUUGUGGGAAAACAUUUAAAGGAAGCAAGAAUUUGUGGCAACAUAAACAAGGACAUGCUAAACAGUUGCACCAGUGCCCACAAUGUUUGUUAAAGUUCAAAUGGAAAAGUUACCUUACAGUUCACCUACGUCAAUUCUGUUCAAACAGAUCAAGAACAAAUGCUCAGUGACUUCUUUAAGAUUUACUUGUAAUGAAUAAACUCUUUCAGAACUGGAAUGACUGUUUUACUCUGGACGUGAAAGUAUUUGUUUAUUAUUAUUAAGUAUUUUUGGUUGGUUUUAAAUGCCUUGGAUUUAUUAUUUUGUAAUCUAUUUAUUUCGCACUUUGUAGUCAUGUCAACUACAUCAUUAGAUAUCCAGAAUUUCUUUGUUAUUACGUCAAUAAACAAAGAACUGUCAUCAGUCUGUAUUUUUGGAAGUGCUAACUUGUUGAACUGUAUGUCUAUACAUCAACAAACAAAGAACUGUCAUCAGUAUGUAUUUUUGGAAGUUCUAACUUGUUGAACUGUAUGUCUAUAUGUCCGUAACCAUUUAACUUAACCGUUCUCAAAGUGGUUACAGUUCAUUUGGAUAUAUUUUUUUAAAUAUUUCAUGUAUAGUAUCGGAAGCUGAGAUGUUGUUACUGUAGAUAACUUCUCCAUUUCUUUUUCAUCUCUUUUUUUUUUUUAGUCAAAUUUUAUCACACUCUCAGGAAGAAGAGGAAGACCUCCUAAGUUUCACAGAUUGUCAGGCACCCAAGAUAUGUUCUGCCAGAUUUGUCAGAAAUACUUUGCCAACCGAACAAAUUUCAAAGAUCACAUGGACAUGCAUGGACCUUACAGAAAAAAAUUUCAUUGUGAUAUCUGUAAUAAAGCUUUCCUUUGGCGCAACAAUGUAUAUGCUCAUAAAAGAAAUGUUCAUGAGAUUCCAGCUUGUCGCAAUGUUGUAACAAAUCCU